AUCUAGCUGACGAGUCCCAAAUAGGACAAAAUACGCAUUGUUUUGGAU
rnacentral:hammerhead_ribozyme from 1 species